rnacentral:tRNA from 1 species
UGGCACAGUGGUAGAGCACUUGCCUGGUAUGCAUGAGCCUCUGGGUUCAAUGCCCAG